AGGACGAACGCUGGCGGCGUGCUUAACACAUGCAAGUCGAGCGGUAAGGCCUUUCGGGGUACACGAGCGGCGAACGGGUGAGUAACACGUGGGUGAUCUGCCCUGCACUCUGGGAUAAGCCUGGGAAACUGGGUCUAAUACCGGAUAUGACCUGCUCUCGCAUGGGGGUGGGUGGAAAGAUUUAUCGGUGCAGGAUGGGCCCGCGGCCUAUCAGCUUGUUGGUGGGGUAAUGGCCUACCAAGGCGACGACGGGUAGCCGACCUGAGAGGGUGACCGGCCACACUGGGACUGAGACACGGCCCAGACUCCUACGGGAGGCAGCAGUGGGGAAUAUUGCACAAUGGGCGAAAGCCUGAUGCAGCGACGCCGCGUGAGGAUGAAGGCCUUCGGGUUGUAAACCUCUUUCAGCAGGACGAAGCGCAAGUGACGGUACCUGCAGAAGAAGCACCGGCUAACUACGUGCCAGCAGCCGC
rnacentral:rRNA from 1 species